GUUAAUAUAGUUUAACAAAACAUUAGGUUGUGGUCCUAAAAAUAGAAGUUUAACUCUUCUUAUUUA
rnacentral:tRNA from 1 species